rnacentral:rRNA from 1 species
AGAGUUUGAUCAUGGCUCAGGACGAACGCUGGCGGCGUGCUUAACACAUGCAAGUCGAACGAUGAAGCCCUUCGGGGUGGAUUAGUGGCGAACGGGUGAGUAACACGUGGGCAAUCUGCCCUUCACUCUGGGACAAGCCCUGGAAACGGGGUCUAAUACCGGAUAACACCUGCCCGGGCAUCUGGGUGGGUUAAAAGCUCCGGCGGUGAAGGAUGAGCCCGCGGCCUAUCAGCUUGUUGGUGAGGUAGUGGCUCACCAAGGCGACGACGGGUAGCCGGCCUGAGAGGGCGACCGGCCACACUGGGACUGAGACACGGCCCAGACUCCUACGGGAGGCAGCAGUGGGGAAUAUUGCACAAUGGGCGAAAGCCUGAUGCAGCGACGCCGCGUGAGGGAUGACGGCCUUCGGGUUGUAAACCUCUUUCAGCAGGGAAGAAGCGAAAGUGACGGUACCUGCAGAAGAAGCGCCGGCUAACUACGUGCCAGCAGCCGCGGUA